CACACAGUCAGUUAGGGAAGCUGCUCAAAGUUAUUUAUCGAUUUUAGAUUAUUAUUUAUCUUUUUUAUUAUUAUUAUUAGUGUGGAAUGCAUGUGUGUAAAUGUGUCUAACAACAAAUAAAGUUCUCUCAUGGGAAAAUAAUAAAGUUCUCUCUUGAUUAUCAAACAUUUAACUGCUUAUACCCAGCAAAACACAUUGUGGGUAAAACAAAAACAAAAAUUCCUGUCAAUGCGGGUAAAAGACACAACAUAACCGAUGACGAUGAUACCCAUGAUACUGUUGCCACUCUUAUCCUAAUGUUGCCAUUCUUAUCCUAAUGUUGCCACUCUUAUCCUCUAGUAAUAGUAUUGACAGAAGCAGUAGUAUUUCCUAGCUAAAGUCUCCUCUGCACUGUGGCUUGGAUGUUAUCGUCUUUCUGUAGGUCGCUUUGGAUAAAAGCAUCUGCUAAAUAAAGAAAUUUAAAUGUAAUGUAAAAAUGCAUGAUGAUGUAAAUGGAUUCACUAUCAAACCAAAGCCAGGGUUCAAUAGAAGCACUGGCCCGCCCGCUGGCUCAGGUCAAGUGAAGAGAGCAAGAAGCACUGGCCCGCCCGCUGGCUCAGGUCAAGUGAAGAGAGCAAGAAGCACUGGCCCGCUGGCUCAGGUCAAGUGAAGAGAGCAAGAAGGGCACUUUGGUAGGCCAGUCACUGGCCUGUUUUUUGGUCCAUUUUUCUGCCCAUCACCGCCAUGAGUCAUUGAAUAAUCAUGUUUGUAAAGACAUAUCUAAACACAAACAACAUAGAUGAUUUAUGUUUUGCCCC